CCCUUGUUUGACUUGCCCUUCUCUUAAUCCACCCCUAUUUCUCUUAUUAAUCUUCCUCACUUACUCUAACUUCCACUUUUAUUCUGUCACGCUCUCCAUCUCUCUCCCCCCCCCACCUUCCUCGUUGGCCAGCUCUCUUUAACUUGCCAGUGUGACGCGGUGACGCUGUCACAUUGCCGAAUGCGGACAGUAGAAUCUGUCCUCGUCGGCCCACGGUUCCAUUUCGGUACACGCAAAGGUCAGCGGGCGGCCAUGAUGUGCUAAUCUCCGCUGACCUCAAACAGAACUUCCUAUCAAAUGUUUCCAGACAGACCGAAAUAUCAAGGAGAUUAGUUUGUACUGCAGCCGGGGAAGCUUUUUUUCCUUCUUCUUUUUUAUUUUUCAUUUAUAAAGUAUGAGCAUUUGCAGAUUCUACCUAAACUCUGAAUCUGCUCAUCUCAAAGUAGAAGGUGGAUUUCUCUGUGUUCCCCUGAUUAAAUCCCAUUGGAGAGAAAAGAGACUGAGGAAUAUCUGGCAGUCUGACAAGUCGACAUAAGCCCUUUGAAAAACACGAGCAAAAAAAACAAUGCAUUCACUUUUUUUGGUUUGAAGGAAGUCCUUGGAAUGGCACACACAUUUAAUACAGGUGAAGCGACCACAGCUGUAUCAAACGCCCUUGUGUUCAUAGCUAAUGUUGUACAUGUUGUGAUUGUUUUGUUUAUUUGAUGCCUUAUUUUUAUUUAUUGUGGAAGUACUAUUUUCCCUCAACCAACCCAGCACUAGUUCUAAAGAUAAUAAUGUGUCCAGGCUGGUGACCAUUUUUACUGUUAUCAUAUGUGUCGUUUUGUUUAUUUCAAGAUUGAGACAAAAAGUGACUAUUAUAAGCACUGAUGCUAGUAUAUAAUUUGGGCAAAUCUGCGUCUAUGAAUGUUUUUAAUAACAAAUGCAGAUGCAGAUCUAUUUUGAUGACUCGAUAAUCCUCAAUGAAGUUGAACUGUAUUAUUGUACAUACAUUCUCGAACCCUGUUAUUUUUGAAAUCGAAAACACAUGAUAACAGGGUUUUUUUAGUCCCAACGUGAGUUGGAAAGUGAAAACAGUGUCGGUUUGCACACAAAUAAUAUAUAUAUCAGUGGGUAAUCUUCAGCGGGUCGUCUCGGGGGAGGAAUCAGCUCCGGGCCGUUGGCACGCCGCCAGAAGACGUGUGUGUUUCGUUUAAAUGAUGACAAUCCAUCACAGCUGCUUCGUUAGUCGAGGAGGGCCUUUUUAUUGUUUUGACUUCUAGUCGUGUCUCAGACCGGCGGUUUCCAGAGGGUUUGCUCUAACGCGUGUCCCAAGGCCCUGACCAGAUUUGGGAUCCUCUUUCUUCCAGAUCGCUGUUGUGCAAACAUGCAGCGGCUAAGAGGGAAAAGGGAAUCCUUCUUCACACUGCCUUGACUGUCUUGGAGUCCUUCGACAGACUGAUUGGAUGAACUGUCCGAUGGGAUGCUGCUGGGAUGUUCAGGUGACCUCGGGGUUGCUGCUUGGAUGGUCAGGUGACCUUGGGGGUUGGUGCGUUGCUCGUACAGAUUCCCUUCGCUGUGGUAGUUGAUGGGUCGGUUUAAU
ensembl:lncRNA